CUAUUUCCAUUUCUCAGUCUCCAAUUUAAGUAUCACAUUGUAUGAAUUUCAAGGAUGUGUCUGUGGUAUUGAACAACAAAGCCAAAAGAAAGUGAGAUAUCAGUAAGCAUCAACAGUAUAGCAGAAUCAACACCAAAUAAACCAGUUCAAACAAGUAAAUGAGGUGCAAUAGCCCAGAAACCAAUUUCAGUAAAACAAUGAACCAGAAAUCCUCAAGCCAGCCUCAAUCUCAAUCCAUUUCACACCCAAAUAAAUCAUAAAUUGCUUCAGCAAAUGAAGGUAUCAAGAUUUGAAGCAGAAAAACCUAAUAGAACAGUAAACCCAAAUAGUAAACUUAAAAACAAGCCUAAACCAAACGCAAACCAUUCCAGGCCUUAGGUGAGUUGAAAUUUGUUUCAGAAAUUCAAAGAAAGAACUUCAAAGUCACAAAAGAGAGUUCAAUGAAGCAGUAAUUUUUGUGCUCUUUUUUGGUAUUUUUUCUCUUAGUUUUCAGACUUUAUAAAUGUGUUGUGUUUUUCUCUAUAUUUUUUUCUCUUCAGGUCUCCUUUUCAGCUCUCAGUUCUGCUUGAAAUUCAAGAAAG
rnacentral:lncRNA from 1 species